AAAAUAUUAUAUUUUUAACUAAGUUUUUAUAUAUUUUCUUAAAGUGUGUGCAAUGUAUGUGAGUGUUUGAAUGAUUGGUUUAUACUACUUGUUGUGGAGUAUGAAUUGAUUUGUAAUAUGAAUUGGAAACAAGAUUAUAUAUAUAUGAUUAGGAGAAGGAUAUUAUGAUGAUGAAUAUGUGAUUGAUUUGGUGAGUGUUAUUAAUGGAC
rnacentral:lncRNA from 1 species